UGGCAACUUGAUAUAAGACUAAGUUAUAACCUCAGCUUCAUUUGUGCCGGAAACCAGAGUUCAUCCACUGGGCUUUAAUUUAACCUGGUCUGUAAAGCUUCCAACACUGCACCAGAGAGGGCCGACAGCAAAACACGUUGUCAGUUGAAUAACUGGAGCUGAACCAUGUUUUCUGGGAGUCUGGUGGUGGUACUGCUUGUCCUCCUCCUGUGUCGCCGCGUCCUGUGGCACGGACUAAUCAUCGUCAUUGGCCAGAAAUGGUUCUCGAGGUCAGCGAGGACGGGUGGAGUUGCCAACCGGAGGCUGAGAUGUGAAAAAAUUAAGAACUAAUAUGAGCCUUCUGUAUUUCAUCUGUUGUUGAAAACACCAGGGAGCCCUGCAGACUUUAGAAAAGAAUCACAAACAUCUCUGUAAGGAUGAUUCGUUUACCAACGGCGAUGUCAACAUGAGUUUGUUGAUACUGUAUUCUUAAACCUUCUAAUAAACACAGAAAUGUUGAA